CAGUAGCCACGGUAAUACGGAGGGUGCAAGCGUUAAUCGGAAUUACUGGGCGUAAAGCGCACGCAGGCGGUCUGUCAAGUCAGAUGUGAAAUCCCCGGGCUUAACCUGGGAACUGCAUUUGAAACUGGCAGGCUAGAGUCUUGUAGAGGGGGGUAGAAUUCCAGGUGUAGCGGUGAAAUGCGUAGAGAUCUGGAGGAAUACCGGUGGCGAAGGCGGCCCCCUGGACAAAGACUGACGCUCAGGUGCGAAAGCGUGGGGAGCAAACAGGAUUAGAUACCCGUGUAGUCCCUGUCUCUUAUAA
rnacentral:rRNA from 1 species